rnacentral:rRNA from 1 species
GAUAAACGCUAGCGGCAGGCUUAACACAUGCAAGUCGAGGGGCAGCAUAGAUUGUAGCAAUACAAUUGGUGGCGACCGGCGCACGGGUGCGUAACGCGUAUGCAACCUGCCCGUCACAGGGGGAUAAUCCGGAGAAAUCUGGUCUAAUACCCCAUAACAUAUGGAUCGGCAUCGGUUCAUGUUGAAAUUUUCGGAGGUGACGGAUGGGCAUGCGUAGCAUUAGCUUGUUGGUGAGGUAACGGCUCACCAAGGCGACGAUGCUUAGGGGGACUGAGAGGUUUUCCCCCCACACUGGUACUGAGACCCGGACCAGACUCCUACGGGAGGCAGCAGUGAGGAAUAUUGGUCAAUGGGCGCAAGCCUGAACCAGCCAUGCCGCGUGCAGGAUGACGGCUCUAUGAGUUGUAAACUGCUUUUGUACGAGGGUAAAGUGGGUUACGUGCAACCUUUUGAAAGUAUCGUACGAAUAAGGAUCGGCUAACUCCGUGCCAGCCGCCGCCGUAA